rnacentral:rRNA from 1 species
CCCCUAGAUGUUCUGGGCCGCACGCGCGCUACACUGAACAGUUCAACAAGUCUUAACCUUGGCCGAUAGGUCUGGGUAAUCUUUGAACGCUGUUCGUGAUUGGGAUAGACCUUUGCAAUUAUGGGUCUUCAACGAGGAAUUCCUAGUAAACGCAAGUCAUCAGCUUGCAUUGAUUACGUCCCUGCCCUUUGUACACACCGCCCGUCGCUCCUACCGAUUGAAUGGUCCGGUGAAGCGUUCGGACCGUGGCCUUUGGACGGUUCGCCGUCUGUUGGCUGCGGGAAGUUCGUUAAACCUUAUCAUUUAGAGGAAGGAGAAGUCGUAACA